AAAUUUAAUAUUUUUUUUCCCCGUGUUGGCGCAGUGAAUUUUUUACCCACCACAACAACGACCCAUCGAUCAGAAUUUUCCCCCCUCGCCGCGCGAAUGCCACGGUUAUUAUUAUUAUUGUUUUUUACCACUCCGUAGUUUUUUUUUACCGCCGCGCGACACCGACGACGACUACACGCUAGCAGUCUCAAUAAACGCGCGCGUGCCGUCGUCGACUGAUCGCCGCCGCCGUCACCUCUGUUGGCGGCGACACGAUUACGAUAACAUAUUUAAUUCGUAAUUAUUAAAAUUAUUUAAUCGUGUUCAUCGUUUCGAUUCACCGUUUUAGUAAGACCUCGAAUUGCCGCCGUUUUACGCGCAUUUCUUAAAUAAUUAGACGUCAUAUCAUUAUUUUCGUCUCCGCGAAACGAUACCAACAACACUGCCGAAGAAGACAACAACGAGAAAAACAACAACAAUAUUAUAUUAUAAUAAUAAUAAUAUGUAAAACCGUAUUAUCGGGAUUUUGUGUGUACGUUCUCGGUCGUUCCGUCCGGCAAACCCGAUAUAACGCUAUUAUCUGAACGUGAUAAGACAGUCCCGUCCGUGAGCGUGUGCAAGUGUAUUUUUUAAUAAAUUUUUUUACCGUAAUUCCGUUUCAGUUUUUUUUUAUUCCUUCACUCACCGAUUUCUCCGAACUCAAAAUGCGUGUGCGUGAUUUUACGACGACCACGACUAACGCGUAUGUGUACGACCGACGACGUCGGCGCGGCGGCGGCUACACCGCCAAGGGCCGUAAUCGCUUGCGUUGUGUGUGUGUGUGGGGGGGGGCACGCGCGUCGUCGACGUCGUCAACGCGGCGACGGCCCUUUAUUGAUUUUUCCGUAUUCGCGUGUCGUUCAGUUGUUGUUGUUGAUAAGGAGAGUGAAUUUUUUCUAUCGUCGGUCGAUAAAAUUUUUUGCGGGGGGGUUCCUUCCCCACUAGUUGUGGUCGUCCGUCAACCAACACUACCGCCGCACCACCACUACCUCUUCCGCCAUGGUUGCCUUCACUGCCUUCGGCCGCGGCUCGACGACGUUGGCGACGACGGCCGAUACAUGAAAAUAUUUACGGAACCGGAACUAAUGGCAGGAAAAGGCGCACGCACGCACGCACGCAUACUCAACACGCACACGACGUGUAAAUAAACAAACGUACGGAAGACGGUGAUCGAAAACGGUGACGAGCACGAACAGACUUCGAUUCACCGGGGGCGAAAACUACCGAAAAAUUCAUGAACACGACGACUAUAACAGUAACAACAACAAGACGGCAUUGCAGAAUGCCGCUAACCGUACACGCUCGCGUUUUCUGGUGUGUUCGGAUUGCCUCGAGUUCUAGAUGACGAAGAUAAAUGGCGUUCCGGAGAGCUUGUUCAUCAAAAAAUGUCUGUUAUAGGACGACGUAAUUAUCGCCUCAUCGUCGAUUUCACACUAGAUUAUCAUAAAUUGAUGAGUAUUUAGUUAAUUUAUUGGAAAAAAAAAUGAUACUGAUACAAGAAUAAUGAUUGCUUAAAGAACUGAACUGAUCGACUACCAGAGACGUUUAAUACUUACUGAAUACUACAAAUUCACUGGUUUGCAUACAAAAGAAUGGUUAUCCCAAGA